CCUACGGGUGGCAGCAGUGAGGAAUAUUGGUCAAUGGGCGCGAGCCUGAACCAGCCAAGUAGCGUGAAGGAUGAAUGCCCUACGGGUUGUAAACUUCUUUUAUCAAGGAAUAAAGUGAGGCGCGUGUGCCUUUUUGUAUGUACUUUAUGAAUAAGGAUCGGCUAACUCCGUGCCAGCAGCCGCGGUAAUACGGAGGAUCCGAGCGUUAUCCGGAAUUAUUGGGUUUAAAGGGAGCGUAGAUGGGUUGUUAAGUCAGUUGUGAAAGGUUGCGGCUCAACCGUAAAAUUGCAAUUGAUACUGGCAGUCUUGAGUACAGUUGAGGUAGGCAGAAUUCGUGGUGUAGCGGUGAAAUGCUUAGAGAUCACGAAGAACUCCGAUUGCGAAGGCAGCUUACUAAACAGACACUGACAUUGAUGCGCGAAAGUGUGGGUAUCAAACAGGAUUAGAUACCCCUGUAGUC
rnacentral:rRNA from 1 species